rnacentral:rRNA from 1 species
AUACGUAGGGGGCGAGCGUUGUCCGGCAUGAUUGGGCGUAAAGGGCGCGUAGGCGGCCCGGUAAGUCUGGAGUGAAAGUCCUGUUUUUAAGAUGGGAAUUGCUUUGGAUACUGUCGGGCUUGAGUGCAGGAGAGGUAAGUGGAAUUCCCAGUGUAGCGGUGAAAUGCGUAGAGAUUGGGAGGAACACCAGUGGCGAAGGCGACUUACUGGACUGUAACUGACGCUGAGGCGCGAAAGUGUGGGGAGCAAACAGGAUUAGAUACCCUGGUAGUCCACACUGUAAACGAUGAAUGCUAGGUGUAGGGGGUAUCGACCCCUUCUGUGCCGCAGUCAACACAAUAAGCAUUCCGCCUGGGGAGUACGGCCGCAAGGUUGAAACUCAAAGGAAUUGACGGGG